ensembl:snRNA U6 U6 spliceosomal RNA
GUGCUCCCUUUGGCAGCACAUACACUAAAACUGGAAGGAUACAGAGAUUAGCAUGGGCCCUGCACAAGGAUGACAUGCAAAUUCGAGAAGCAUUCCUUAUAUUU